CCAAAAAAGAUAUCCAUUUAUUAUCUUACAGUUUGGGAGGUUAGAAGUCCUAAAAUCAAGGUGUAGGCUGUGUUCCUCUUUCUGGAGGCUGUAGGAGAGAAUCCAUUUUCUUGCCUUUUCCAGUUAGAGACUACCUGCAUUCUGCAUUCUUUGGUUGUUGGCCCCUCCCUCCAUCGUCAAAGCCAGCAGCAUAGCACCUUCAAAUCUCUAUUUCUCUCUUGGGCCUCUGUUUCCACUAUGACAUCACCUCUGACUCUGGCCCUCUUGCCUCCCUCUCAGAAAGACUGUAAUUAUGCUGGGCCCAGCCAGGUAAUCCAGGAUGAUCUCCUCAUUGCAAGUUCCUUAACUUAAUCACGUCUGCCAAGUCCCUCUCCAUUGCUGUGGUGGCAUCUACAUCUUCAGCUCGGUCACUGGCUCCCAGCAUGCCCCAUUAUUUUCUAGAACUCCCUCUUGGUGGCCCUGCCCCGUACUUGGCAUGUCCAGUGAUAACCUCAGGGCCCAGGGGACCUUGCCCCAAGUCAUGGUCUCCUAACUUCAUUCCCACCUCUGGCUGGCUUCAGUAAGGUUGUAGAGGAAGAAACCAGACUCUCUCCACAAAAGAUGCUGUAGACCCCAUCUGGGGUUGGGGCCUGUCUUCCUACGAAAGAACUAUCUAUGUCAGCAGUAGUACUGCCUCUGGCAAGUUGCUUCAAAAGUGAGCCUGAAUCUCGGGAAGCGCCGGUGACUGUCCAGAAGGUUCUUUAUUGUAGUCUUUUCCUCCCCUGGCCUGGGUGGGCCUACAACAUGGGCUUCCCUAGGCGGCAAAGGGAGCUCCAAAUCCACUAUUGCCCUUGGCGUAAGGCUAAAGGGCCCUGCCCUGGGCCCCAUGCUUUGGAGGCUGCCACACGCCACAAAAGUAUGCGGAAUACGUGUAGCAGAGAUUGCCUGGGCACCUCUGCUAUUUUGGGAUCCAGUGGUCAGUUUUCCCUAUAACCCUGAGCUAUGCCCUUCUUGGGAUAGCCACUUCUAUAACUAACACUGCUCAGACCCCACGGAAAUACUUCUGCACAGCAGUUGCCUUAUGUUCUUGAAACAAAAGGCAGCUAUUCAUGGAUGCUGUGAAGGUUUGUGGGCUGUGCCUCCGCAGAUCUUGGAGAUGACCCAUAAUUCGGAGUGUGGGGGAGGAUUUCAGCUGCAGAAGGCUUAGGUGAAAGGAAAGACAAAUUAAGUUGUCAAACCCUUCCUUUCAGAUAGCAUGAAUGUGAGAGAUUCACACGUAACCAAAUACCAUUUCCCACUGAUGCCGUGUGUCCAUAUUUUUGCUUCUAUUUGUGUUCCAAUUUUGUGGUUCUAGAGGUACCACAUGGUAGCUAAGCAACACUAUAAGACAUUAAACAUUUCAUAUUUCUUAGAUGUAUAUAUGUGCAUGUUAUACACACACACACACACACACACACAGACACACACACACACUCCUAAUAUACGGGGAGCAUGAUAUCAGUUCUUUACAAUGGAACCUGAAUGGACGUUGAACACUGAUAAAUGCAAAAAUUUAUAUAGUUAUAAAAACAUGUAACAAGGUUUAAUUACAUUUUCAAAUAGCUAAAUAAAAUUUCAGCUUGAUUUAGGUCAUUUUGACUGUAAAUUCUGAGGUAUACAUUUUAAGUAGUCAGAUAUUAUAU
rnacentral:lncRNA from 10 species